CCUACGGGUGGCAGCAGUGGGGAAUCUUCCGCAAUGGGCGCAAGCCUGACGGAGCAACGCCUCGUGAAUGAAGAAGGUCUUCGGAUCGUAAAGUUCUUUUCUUAGGGAAGAAGUCUUAGGUUGUGAAUAAUUACUUAAGGUGACUGUACCUAUGGAGAAAGCUCCGGCUAACUACGUGCCCGCAGUCGCGGUAAUACGUCGGGCGCGAGCGUUGUUCGGAAUUACUGGGCGUAAAGGGCGCGUAGGCGGGAACGUAAGUUAGAUGUGAAAACCGCGGGCGUAACCUGGGGAAUGCAUUUAAAACUGGGUUUCUUUAGGGCAGGAGAGGAAAGUUGAAUGUCUAGGGUAGCGGUGAAAUGCGUAGAUAUUAGGAGGAACACCAGUGGCGAAGGCGACUUUCUGGACUGGACCUGACGCUGAGGCGCGAAAGCAUGGGGAGCGAACAGGAUUAGAUACCCGUGUAGUC
rnacentral:rRNA from 1 species